UGCCGCUUGUUUGUUUGUUGGCGUUGUUGCUUUUCUUUUUCUUUUUGAUGCCGAUGUCGUCCGGAGGUUCUUGGGCGUCACCGCAUCGGCUUGCUUUUCUUGUCAUCUUUCUUCUUCAGCCUCCAGGGCUCUGUAAUGCACAUUUUGCCAAUGAAAUGAAAAGGUUUUUGUUACCUCUUUUACUCAUGUGUCAAAUUGUCAUUUGCCGAGCUUCCUUCGGCUUUUGCAUUGUCCAAUAUCGAUGCCGUUCGGAAGUACCC
rnacentral:lncRNA from 1 species